CCAUUGGAGGAUGAGGAGCUGAUUGCAUAUAUGCUGCGUGGACUCGGGUAUGAAUAUGAUCCGUUGGUAACGAGUAUCACCACAUGGACUGACACCGUCAACAUCAGUGAUGUAUAUGCUCAUAUGUUAAGCUAUGAGC